AAUCCGGUGGUCUAGUGGUUAUGACGCUGACAUGAAGGAUGUCUGUGGUCGUGGGUUCGAAUCCCACUCGGAUUU
rnacentral:tRNA from 1 species